AGAUGCGAUCAUAUCAGCACUAAUGCACCGGAUCUCAUCAGAACUUCGUAGUUAAGCGUGUUUGGACGAAAGAUGAUCUUCUGAAAAGUUCUGGUUUUGUACUUC
rnacentral:rRNA from 1 species